UUUAUUCUAACUCUCAUGCUAAUGGUUUGUUAUCACUUUUUUGUGCCUUCGUGCCAAGUCUAGUUUUUCUGUUUGUUAUCCCUAGCCUCCAUGCUAGCGCCAUUUGUUUACCUUUUUCUAUUAGCACCAGUGUUUUUGUUCUAGCCUGUUUUGAGUUUAACAAAUCUUUAUUUCUUACCUUUUGCUGUGUUCUUGCCGACGCAUCCUUGGAGGAACUGCUAUGCCAACCCGGCGUUACACCAACAGGUGUAAAAGAAAGUGCAUCGCUAUUCUCCUUCAAAACCGCACUAAAAGAACACCUCCAGGCAACUGCAACCCUAGACUAACCCCCCCACCACAUCCCCCCACCCCAGAUUGUAAAUAAUCAAACGUAUAUACUUGUUGUUAUGCUUUCUGAUGUAACGACCUGCUCGCAUCGUGGUGCGGAUGUCGUUCUCCCAGGGAUGCAGACGGGCUUCGGACACAGCGUGCAGAAAGAUUAUAAAGUCAUACCUGAAAGUCGGGCGGCUGCGGUGACCGCCGAUGUCUCUGAGCGAAGCCAUAUGAAGGAGCCAAGAAAGUCACAGCUGCAUUUUUGACAGCUGCUGCAGGAGGACGCAAACUCCGCUCAAGUCUCCGGGUUUCCUCUGUUGCCCGUGAUCGAGUUGUGUGCCUCGACUUCCCACCGGAUUAUGGACCGCCUCCCUAGAUGCUCGACCCCCGCUCGGACACGGACCUCGUUGCCUCUCUCCAGCCCCUGACCUCUCACUGCCUUCUCGCCUUACUCCUUUGGUCUGACAAAGGAUUCAUCCAACAAGCAUAUACAACAAAUUCUGGUAACAUUUCCAUUGUUAAUGCUGCACAUCUUCUUGCAUCAUUCACGUAGAGUAGCAUACGCACCCCAACUAUUCAUCAGUAUCAAUAAACCUAUUGAACUGAU